UUUGAAGAUAGAUUUAUGCGAGUUGCAAUCUCUAGUUAAUCCUCUGAUUCUUCUCUUCCAUUUGAUUCUUGAACAAACUCGAAGGUUCUUGAAAUACUUGUUUUGAUGACGCCAUCCAAAGGACUUAAGUCAUGAUUUUGGAUUGAACGUUGAACUUGAUUUGAUUUGAGAAGAACGUUCUUAGAAUUUUGUAAGAACGCCUUGAAGCUUUCGAACUU
rnacentral:lncRNA from 1 species